rnacentral:rRNA from 1 species
GCGCAGCAGGCGAGAAACCUUCGCAAUGCGGGAAACCGCGACGAGGGGACUCCCAGUGCCUGCGCUCAGCGUAGGCUGUUCCCGAGCCUAGAAAGCUCGGGGAGUAAGGGCUGGGUAAGACGGGUGCCAGCCGCCGCGGUAAUACCCGCAGCCCGAGUGGUGGCCACUAUUAUUGGGCCUAAAGCGUCCGUAGCCGGUUUAAUAAAUGCCUGGGUAAAUCGUGUAGCUUAACUAUACGAAUUCCGGGUAGACUGUUAAACUCGAGACCGGGAGAAGUUAGAGGUACUCCUGGGGUAGAGGUGAAAUUCUGUAAUCCUAGGGGGACCACCUGUGGCGAAGGCGUCUAACUAGAACGGGUCUGACGGUGAGGGACGAAGCCCUGGGGCGCAAACGGGGAUUAGAUACCCCCGUAGU